rnacentral:rRNA from 1 species
GCGCACCAGUCGCGAAACCUUCGCAAUGCGGGAAACCGCGACGAGGGGACUCCCAGUGCCUACGCUCAGCGUAGGCUGUUCCCGAGCCUAGAAAGCUCGGGGAGUAAGGGCUGGGUAAGACGGGUGCCAGCCGCCGCGGUAAUACCCGCAGCCCGAGUGGUGGCCACUAUUAUUGGGCCUAAAGCGUCCGUAGCCGGCCCGGUAAAUGCCUGGGUAAAUCGUGAGGCCUAACCUCACGAAUUCCGGGUAGACUGCCGGGCUAGGGACCGGAGGAGGGAGAGGGUACUCCAGGGGUAGGGGUGAAAUCCUGUAAUCCCUGGAGGACCACCGGCGGCGAAGGCGCUCUCCCAGGACGGGUCCGACGGUGAGGGACGAAAGCCAGGGGA